rnacentral:rRNA from 1 species
CAGCAGCCACGGUAAUGCGGAGGGGGCUAGCGUUGUUCGGAAUUACUGGGCGUAAAGCGCACGUAGGCGGCUUGGUAAGUUAGAGGUGAAAGCCCAGGGCUCAACCCUGGAAUUGCCUUUAAGACUGCCGAGCUAGUAGGUGAGAGAGGUGAGUGGAAUUCCGAGUGUAGAGGUGAAAUUCGUAGAUAUUCGGAAGAACACCAGUGGCGAAGGCGGCUCACUGGCUCAUUCUAGACGCUGAGGUGCGAAAGCGUGGGGAGCAAACAGGAUUAGAUACCCCCGUAGUCCCUGUCUCUUAUAC